GUCACCUGCACCAGGUGCAACCUGUUACUAAAGGUAACCUGCACCAGGUGCAACCUGUCACUAAAGGUAACCUGCACCAGGUGCAACCUGUUACUAAAGGUAACCU